UGCGUAGGCGGUCCGUUAAGUCAGUGGUGAAAUCCAGCAGCUCAACUGCUGAACUGCCAUUGAUACUGGCGGACUUGAGUACGGACGAGGUAGGCGGAAUUUAUGGUGUAGCGGUGAAAUGCAUAGAUACCAUAAAGAACACCGAUAGUGAAGGCAGCUUACUAGACCGUAACUGACGCUCAGGCACGAAAGCGUGGGGAGCGAACAGGAUUAGAUACCCUGGUAGUCC
rnacentral:rRNA from 1 species